CGGAUUCCACAUGCGGACACCGAACUCCGCAUUCGACGAAGAAAUGCGAUUGGUGCCGAUCACAACCCUGGUGAUUCUGCAUCACACAGCCGGAGCAGGCGAGAGGAGCCAAGCCGCAACUCAAACACAUGUUUAAAUUAUCCAUCCAGAAAGACUCUACUAGGAUUCACCGACUUAAAAAAAGUGGACGCGAGUGAUAGCCUUCAACUGAGCUGGUGUUGAUAUGAAUCCUCGUUAAAGGUCUCAGAAGAAAGCUAGCGGAACAUAGCCGGCGAAUUCAAUCGGAGCCGACAUAGCUUUAGCUCGUUAGCUUCUGGUUAGCAAAGAGAUCCCUUAAUUCGUCCGGUCUCGGCGUACACCUGCGUCUAACGCUGACCUGUGUGCAACUGCCUGUCAGCUUACACUCGUCAUUGUGGACUUCCUCCAUUAUUUUUCUCCGUACUCGUUUAAAAAAAAAAAACCAACAAAAAAACAAAAGGCGUGCGUGAACACUGGGGCGAGGAACAGGACCGUGCCCGGUUAAAGGUUGGGAACAAGCUGUGUCCUCGAUUGGCCGUUCACCAUGGACAACGCACACACGAAGACGGUGGAGGAAGUUUUCAGCUUUUUCAACGUAAAUGAGAGCACAGGUCUGAGUUUAGAGGAGGUAAAGAAACAGCGGGAACGAUAUGGAACAAACGAACUACCGGCAGAGGAGGGCAAAUCUCUUUGGGAACUGGUGAUUGAACAAUUUGAAGAUCUACUUGUGAGGAUCCUUUUACUUGCUGCGUGUAUAUCCUUUGUUCUGGCCUGGUUUGAGGAGGGAGAAGAAACCAUCACAGCCUUUGUGGAGCCUUUUGUUAUCUUGCUUAUUCUCAUAGCAAACGCAAUCGUAGGGGUCUGGCAGGAGCGAAAUGCAGAAAAUGCCAUCGAAGCUCUGAAGGAAUAUGAGCCAGAGAUGGGGAAGGUGUAUCGCCAGGACAGGAAAAGCGUCCAGAGAAUCAAAGCCAGGGACAUUGUUCCUGGUGACAUCGUAGAAGUAGCUGUUGGUGACAAAGUGCCUGCAGACAUCAGGCUGACUUCUAUAAAGUCAACCACACUGAGGGUAGACCAGUCUAUUCUUACAGGAGAGUCUGUAUCGGUGAUCAAGCACACAGAUCCGGUGCCAGACCCACGAGCUGUCAACCAGGACAAAAAGAACAUGCUCUUUUCUGGUACAAACAUUGCUGCAGGUAAGGCUGUCGGUGUGGUGGUGGCCACAGCCGGCAACACAGAGAUUGGCAAAAUCCGCGAUGAGAUGGCAGCCACAGAGCAGGAGCGCACACCCUUGCAGCAGAAGCUGGAUGAGUUUGGGCAGCAACUAUCAAAGGUCAUCUCACUGAUCUGCGUUGCUGUUUGGAUCAUCAAUAUCGGACAUUUUAACGACCCCGUCCAUGGAGGUUCCUGGAUCCGAGGUGCAGUCUAUUACUUCAAGAUUGCAGUGGCUCUGGCAGUCGCUGCUAUUCCUGAGGGUCUGCCUGCUGUCAUUACUACCUGCCUGGCAUUGGGAACACGCCGCAUGGCCAAGAAGAAUGCCAUUGUCCGCAGUUUGCCCUCCGUGGAGACCCUCGGCUGUACAUCUGUCAUCUGCUCUGACAAAACUGGAACGCUGACCACCAAUCAGAUGUCUGUGUGCCGGAUGUGUAUUAUUGAUAAGGCAGAGGGGGAUCGCUGUUCAUUAAAGGAAUUCACUGUUACCGGCUCCACGUAUGCCCCAGAUGGGGAAGUCUAUCAUAAUGGCAAACCAGUAAAAUGCUCCCAGUACGAUGCCUUGGUUGAACUGGCCUCUAUUUGUGCUCUCUGUAAUGACUCGUCACUGGACUAUAAUGAGACCAAAGGUGUCUAUGAGAAGGUGGGAGAGGCCACAGAGACAGCUCUGACAUGUCUGGUGGAGAAGAUGAACGUGUUUGAUACAGACAUUAAAAGCUUGUCCACGGUUGAGCGUGCCAAUGCCUGCAACUCUGUGAUCAAGCAGCUCAUGAAGAAGGAACUUACGUUGGAAUUUUCCAGAGACAGGAAGUCUAUGUCUGUGUACUGCACUCCAAACAAAGCACGGUCUACUGUUGGCAAGAUGUUUGUGAAGGGUGCCCCAGAGGGAGUUAUUGACAGGUGCACGCACAUCCGUGUAGGCAGUAACAAGGUGCCCAUGACCCCUGGUAUCAAGGAGAAGAUCAUGUCUGUGAUCAGAGAGUAUGGGACUGGCAGAGACACUCUGCGCUGUCUGGCUCUGGCAACACGAGAUAACCCAGUAAACAAAGACGACCUUGUGUUGGAGGACUCCUCUCGCUUUGUGGAAUAUGAGACUGAUCUGACGUUUGUGGGCUGUGUGGGCAUGCUGGAUCCUCCCAGGGCAGAGGUGGCAGCGUCUAUUAGGCUUUGUCGUCUUGCAGGCAUCAGAGUAAUUAUGAUCACUGGAGACAACAAGGGUACAGCAGUGGCUAUUUGCAGACGUAUUGGUAUCUUUGGAGAAGAGGAUGACGUUUCCAGCAUGGCCUUCACUGGCAGAGAGUUUGAUGAUCUCUCACCUGCUGCACAAAGAGAUGCUGUUGUCAAGGCUCGUUGCUAUGCACGCGUUGAACCUGCACACAAGUCCAAGAUUGUUGAGUAUCUACAGUCCUAUGAUGAGAUUACAGCUAUGACUGGUGACGGAGUAAACGACGCCCCUGCUCUGAAGAAGGCUGAGAUUGGCAUCGCCAUGGGCUCAGGAACAGCUGUGGCCAAAACUGCCUCAGAGAUGGUGCUGGCUGAUGACAACUUUUCCACCAUCGUAGCUGCAGUUGAGGAAGGCAGAGCCAUUUAUAACAACAUGAAGCAGUUCAUCAGAUACCUCAUCUCCUCCAAUGUUGGUGAAGUUGUCUGCAUCUUCCUGACUGCCGCCCUGGGUUUCCCUGAGGCUCUCAUCCCUGUUCAGCUGCUCUGGGUCAACCUGGUUACUGAUGGAUUGCCUGCCACAGCUUUAGGAUUCAACCCACCUGACUUGGACAUCAUGAGCAAACCUCCACGAAAUGCUCGGGAGCCCCUCAUCUCCGGAUGGCUUUUUUUCAGAUACCUUGCCAUUGGAUGUUAUGUUGGAGCUGGUACUGUUGGUGCUGCUGCAUGGUGGUUUGUUGCUGCUGAAGAUGGACCAAGGAUCACCUUUUACCAGCUGAGCCAUUUCCUGCAAUGUGGUCCUGAAAAUCCAGAAUACCAAGGUCUGGAUUGUAAGGUGUUCGAGUCCCCGUACCCCAUGACCAUGGCCCUCUCAGUACUGGUUACCAUUGAGAUGUGUAAUGCCCUGAACAGUGUGUCAGAGAACCAGUCGCUGCUGCGGAUGCCUCCCUGGGAGAACGUGUGGCUGCUGGGUGCCAUCUGCCUCUCCAUGUCCCUUCACUUCCUCAUCCUCUAUGUGGAACCUCUUCCAAUCAUCUUCCAGAUCACCCCUCUCAAUCUGACCCAGUGGCUAACGGUGCUGAAGAUCUCGCUGCCUGUCAUCCUGCUUGACGAGCUCCUUAAGUUUGCUGCCAGAAACUACCUGGAGCGCUGCAGAGAGCUGGAGAAGCCCUCCAGCUCCAAAGGCUGCUCCCUAUUUGCAUGUAUGGAGGGCAUCUCCUGGCCCUUCGUGGCCAUUUCCCUCCCUUUGGUCCUCUGGAUCUACAGCUCUGACACUAACCUGGCUGACAUGUUCAUGUCCUGACUGAUUUGAGCACAACCUCAACUUUGUCCAUUCCCUCCCACACCCCCCCACCCACUGCCAUCACUUCCUCCUUUCCUUCUUUCUCUGCCUUCCUAAUUGUUGAUAGCUAGCGCAUUUGUGUGUGUGUGUGUGUUAGUGGUGUGUGCGCGUGUGAACUUGUGUGCGCGAGACAGACCAACUGUAACUCACAAAACGCAACAAAUAAUAUAAAAAGUUAACAUUUACGUCGCCUGUUUGAGUUGGGUCAGGACUUGUGAAUGGCUGAGGCUUUAAAAUGACUCCCACAGUUUGGACUUGUUUCUAGAUUAAAAGCAAAUAGUGUUGCCGUUUUUUUUUUUUUUUUUUUGGUUGUCAAUAUUGCCUUUAAGGUAUGUUUUAAAUGUUAGGAUUAUCCGCAUUUUGUCCUAUGUCACUACUGUCAAAGAACAUUUUGUUUAGGCUCUCGUUCUCCUGAACACAAAGUUAAGAUAUCAGAUUAUUUGACCUGUACAGAGAUUGAACACUAUUUUAUGCAAUUUCUUUUUAACGGCUUUGUAAAUUGUUUAACCAGCGUGGCUUAGAAACACCGCCUUGAUUUAUUUUCUGUUUACCAUUGUGUCUUCAGCAUAAAUUUAAAACUCUGAGAAGACAAGCUCCAUUUGGCAGACAGGAAACGAGGGAAAGGUUUGGGAUCCUCAGCUUAAACAAAAAUGGGGGGAAAAAAUCCUGAAAAACAAAAGAAAAAGCUGCAUGUCUUGUGACCAAGCAUGAACUCUGUGGUUUCUCAUUUCUAAUUUAAAUAUGUACGCCCCUGCCCCCAUCUCUUGUUAAAGCGUAAAAAGGUUUGUGGAUUUUUUUUUUUUUUUUACGAUAUUAAUUGAAAUUAAGUAGUUUUUUUCUGCACUUGGCAGAGCACAGCUACCUCAAAAUGAUGAAAAUUGUUUUUUUAUUUUUAUUUGGAGAUGCUUUUCCUCAACACGUCUUGCUAAAAGAUAAUAUCUGAGGUGUGCCCCCUAUUUGCUUGUGCAGAAAACGAACAUUUUCCUUCCCCUUUAACAUUUUUUAAGGAUGUCUUGUUUGUAUUGAUUGUGAAUUUCUUUAACUUAAUUUGCUGGGAAGACAGAGCUGGGUGGGGAUGCUGUGUGUCGUCUUACCAUCUCCAUGGUGUUUGAUUCAAAGGACAGUAAAAAUAAUAUCCAAAAAUACUAGUACAAGUGCUCCAAAAGAACAUUGAUUGCAGAUCAAAACCCUAAAUGUUUUUUGUUUUUUUUUUCUACAAAAAAUACACUCAUAAUGAACUCUUUGAAUCAAGUGUUUUCUGUCGUUAUUUGUGUUCGACUCAUGGUUAUCUUUACAGUUCCUAUCCAGUGCUUUUGUGUGUGCAUAUAUUACUAUAAUAAUAAUAAUUUACGAAAAAUGAAUGCUUUAGUUUUUCUGACUCAUGACUACAGAUGUUGGAUCAGAUCCUUUUAACAAUUUGAACUUGUGGAUAUUUUCCAUGUGUGAAAACCCAACUAAAGCAUGUUUUUAGGUAGAAGCCUGGUUGUUCUUCCUGCCUGUUUGUCUUAACAAACGUGUGCUUUUUUUUCUUCAAUGCCUUCCAUUGGCUCCCCUGUCAUUAGAGUUGGUUUUCAUGAAAGCUUUUGGUAAUCCGAGCAGAAUAAGAAGUUGGGUAUCAUCUUACCACUAAGUGUGGGCUCACACGUUUUCACUCACCAUGAUAACCAGCAGCAUUCACACACCCUGGUGAAUAGAACAUGUUUUCAAAAUGUGCAAACUUAUCCUGCUAGUUGUCGUCCUCCCCCAAUAGCACAACUUCCUGCAGUGAGACAUACAUGCCUCUGUGUGCAAAUAUUAAUUUAGAACAUUAAUCCAGCUGUAUGUGCAGGGAUGUCCUGAGACACCCCUCUCCUGAAUCCUCCUUGCAUGAAGAACCUCUUCCAUGUGUAGCUCGUCAGUCGCAUAGAUAAUUUUGCAGGAAAAAUGGGUUUAAUGGUCUUAGCUGUACAAAGACGUCCAUGCAUGCAUUUCAGCUGUAUGUAUGCUAUACAAAUUUGUAUUUAUAGAUUCUAAUGUAUAAUACUCUAAUGACUUAUAGAGGGUUUUAAGAAAGAUGAAGUUGUAAAAUCACUUUUUAUUGUAAUGUUUUGGGUCAUUUGCACAAUGCUGGACAUGGAUACAUGAUUCAUGCUGAAAGUGACUGUGCUUAACUUUAGCUUUUUUUUAAAAAUAGUAUUUUGUUUUUAAUUUAUUUUUAUCCCAUCACUUAAUGUGAGAAUAUCACUCACUCUGCCAGUUAAUUUUAUGAAUUAGCCAUUAGCAUUUAGGUUAACAGACUCGCUCAUUUCUCAGUGAACCUGCAACACAGCUCGUUUGAUUUUUCUUAUUGCCUUGACAUUCCUAUAAUUAUUAUGUAUCUUUAUCAACUGCUGUAAAACUGUGAUUUAAUGUGAGGGACCCUGUAUGGUCUCCUCAUUACACCUGGUUGAAAAACAAUAUUAACCAUAUGUAAACGUCAAUCAUUACUGAAGGCUGAUAAUGAUUGUACAGUGGUAAAUAAAAUAAUCUAGUAUUUCA